CUCCGUCCCAAAAUAAGUGCAGCCAUGGUUUUCUGCGCCCAACUUUGACCGUUCGUCUUAUUUGAAAACUUUUUUAAAAAAAUUAAAAACAGAAGUCACGAGUAAAGUACUAUUUAUGUUUUAUCAUCUCAUAACAAUAAAAAUGCUAAUUAUAAAAAAAUUUCAAAUAAGACGGACGAUCAAAAUUGGGCGCAGAAACUCAUGGCUGCGCUUAUUUUGGGACGGAGGUA
rnacentral:pre_miRNA from 1 species